AGGACGAACGCUGGCGGCGUGCCUAACACAUGCAAGUCGAGCGAGGAGAUCCUCGGGAUGAUCCUAGCGGCGGACGGGUGAGUAACACGUGGGCAACCUGCCUCAUAGAGAGGAAUAGCCUUCCGAAAGGGAGAUUAAUACCUCAUAACAUUGCAGUUUCGCAUGGAACAGCAAUUAAAGGAGCAAUCCGCUAUGAGAUGGGCCCGCGGCGCAUUAGCUAGUUGGUGAGGUAACGGCUCACCAAGGCGACGAUGCGUAGCCGACCUGAGAGGGUGAUCGGCCACAUUGGGACUGAGACACGGCCCAGACUCCUACGGGAGGCAGCAGUGGGGAAUAUUGCACAAUGGGGGAAACCCUGAUGCCAGCAACGCCGCGUGAGUGAUGACGGCCUUCGGGUUGUAAAGCUCUGUCUUCAGGGACGAUAAUGACGGUACCUGAGGAGGAAGCCACGGCUAACUACGUGCCAGCCGCCGC
rnacentral:rRNA from 1 species